rnacentral:rRNA from 1 species
GACGAACGCUGGCGGCGUGCUUAACACAUGCAAGUCGAACGGUAAGGCCCUUCGGGGUACACGAGUGGCGAACGGGUGAGUAACACGUGGGUGAUCUGCCCUGCACUUCGGGAUAAGCCUGGGAAACUGGGUCUAAUACCGGAUAGGACCACUGCCUGCAUGGGGGGUGGGGGAAAGCUUUUGCGGUGUGGGAUGGGCCCGCGGCCUAUCAGCUUGUUGGUGGGGUGAUGGCCUACCAAGGCGACGACGGGUAGCCGGCCUGAGAGGGUGACCGGCCACACUGGGACUGAGAUACGGCCCAGACUCCUACGGGAGGCAGCAGUGGGGAAUAUUGCACAAUGGGCGCAAGCCUGAUGCAGCGACGCCGCGUGAGGGAUGACGGCCUUCGGGUUGUAAACCUCUUUCAGCACCGACGAAGCGCAAGUGACGGUAGGUGCAGAAGAAGGACCGGCCAACUACGUGCCAGCCGCCGCGGUAA